rnacentral:tRNA from 1 species
GCCGGCUUAGCUCAGUGGCAGAGCAUCUGUUUUGUAAACAGGGGGUCGUCAGUUCAACCCUGACAGCCGGCUCCA